rnacentral:rRNA from 1 species
AUGACCAUCUGACCUCAAAUCAGGUAGGACUACCCGCUGAACUUAAGCAUAUCAAUAAGCGGAGGAAAAGAAACUAACAAGGAUUCCCCUAGUAACUGCGAGUGAAGCGGGAUAAGCUCAAAUUUAAAAUCUGGCGGUUAUGCCGUCCGAGUUGUAUCCUGGAGAAGUGCUUUCUGCGCUGGACGU